GUGAACCAGUACCGUGAGGGAAAGGCGAAAAGAACCCCGGCGAGGGGAGUGAAAAAGAACCUGAAACCGUGUACGUACAAGCAGUGGGAGCACCCUUCGGGGUGUGACUGCGUACCUUUUGUAUAAUGGGUCAGCGACUUAUAUUCUGUAGCAAGGUUAACCGUAUAGGGGAGCCGGAGGGAAACCGAGUCUUAAUUGGGCGUUAAGUUGCAGGGUAUAGACCCGAAACCCGGUGAUCUAGCCAUGGGCAGGUUGAAGGUUGGGUAACACUAACUGGAGGACCGAACCGACUAAUGUUGAAAAAUUAGCGGAUGACCUGUGGCUGGGGGUGAAAGGCCAAUCAAACCGGGAGAUAGCUGGUUCUCCCCGAAAGCUAUUUAGGUAGCGCCUCGUGAAUUCAUCUCCGGGGGUAGAGCACUGUUUCGGCUAGGGGGCCAUCCCGGCUUACCAACCCGAUGCAAACUGCGAAUACCGGAGAAUGUUAUCACGGGAGACACACGGCGGGUGCUAACGUCCGUCGUGAAGAGGGAAACAACCCAGACCGCCAGCUAAGGUCCCAAAGUCAUGGUUAAGUGGGAAACGAUGUGGGAAGGCCCAGACAGCCAGGAUGUUGGCUUAGAAGCAGCCAUCAUUUAAAGAAAGCGUAAUAGCUCACUGGUCGAGUCGGCCUGCGCGGAAGAUGUAACGGGGCUAAACCAUGCACCGAAGCUGCGGCAGCGAACGUAUCACCCAAGACAACUUUACGGAGUUGACGAUUGACGGAGCGAAGCGACGUCAAAGCGUUCAUUAAAGUCGAGUUGGCUUAGGGAUACGUUCGUUGGGUAGGGGAGCGUUCUGUAAGCCUGUGAAGGUGUGUCGUGAGGCAUGCUGGAGGUAUCAGAAGUGCGAAUGCUGACAUAAGUAACGAUAAAGCGGGUGAAAAGCCCGCUCGCCGGAAGACCAAGGGUUCCUGUCCAACGUUAAUCGGGGCAGGGUGAGUCGACCCCUAAGGCGAGGCCGAAAGGCGUAGUCGAUGGGAAACGGGUUAAUAUUCCCGUACUUGGUGUUACUGCGAAGGGGGGACGGAGAAGGCUAUGUUGGCCGGGCGACGGUUGUCCCGGUUUAAGCGUGUAGGUGUGUGUUCCAGGUAAAUCCGGUUCACUUUAACACUGAGGCGUGACGACGAGGCACUACGGUGCUGAAGCAACAAAUGCCCUGCUUCCAGGAAAAGCCUCUAAGCAUCAGGUAACAUCAAAUCGUACCCCAAACCGACACAGGUGGUCAGGUAGAGAAUACCAAGGCGCUUGAGAGAACUCGGGUGAAGGAACUAGGCAAAAUGGUGCCGUAACUUCGGGAGAAGGCACGCUGACACGUAGGUGAAGUGAUUUACUCAUGGAGCUGAAGUCAGUCGAAGAUACCAGCUGGCUGCAACUGUUUAUUAAAAACACAGCACUGUGCAAACACGAAAGUGGACGUAUACGGUGUGACGCCUGCCCGGUGCCGGAAGGUUAAUUGAUGGGGUCAGCGCAAGCGAAGCUCCUGAUCGAAGCCCCGGUAAACGGCGGCCGUAACUAUAACGGUCCUAAGGUAGCGAAAUUCCUUGUCGGGUAAGUUCCGACCUGCACGAAUGGCGUAAUGAUGGCCAGGCUGUCUCCACCCGAGACUCAGUGAAAUUGAACUCGCUGUGAAGAUGCAGUGUACCCGCGGCAAGACGGAAAGACCCCGUGAACCUUUACUAUAGCUUGACACUGAACAUUGAGCCUUGAUGUGUAGGAUAGGUGGGAGGCUUUGAAGUGUGGACGCCAGUCUGCAUGGAGCCGACCUUGAAAUACCACCCUUUAAUGUUUGAUGUUCUAACGUGGACCCGUAAUCCGGGUUGCGGACAGUGUCUGGUGGGUAGUUUGACUGGGGCGGUCUCCUCCUAAAGAGUAACGGAGGAGCACGAAGGUUGGCUAAUCCUGGUCGGACAUCAGGAGGUUAGUGCAAUGGCAUAAGCCAGCUUGACUGCGAGCGUGACGGCGCGAGCAGGUGCGAAAGCAGGUCAUAGUGAUCCGGUGGUUCUGAAUGGAAGGGCCAUCGCUCAACGGAUAAAAGGUACUCCGGGGAUAACAGGCUGAUACCGCCCAAGAGUUCAUAUCGACGGCGGUGUUUGGCACCUCGAUGUCGGCUCAUCACAUCCUGGGGCUGAAGUAGGUCCCAAGGGUAUGGCUGUUCGCCAUUUAAAGUGGUACGCGAGCUGGGUUUAGAACGUCGUGAGACAGUUCGGUCCCUAUCUGCCGUGGGCGCUGGAGAACUGAGGGGGGCUGCUCCUAGUACGAGAGGACCGGAGUGGACGCAUCACUGGUGUUCGGGUUGUCAUGCCAAUGGCACUGCCCGGUAGCUAAAUGCGGAAGAGAUAAGUGCUGAAAGCAUCUAAGCACGAAACUUGCCCCGAGAUGAGUUCUCCCUGAGACUUAGAGUCUCCUGAAGGAACGUUGAAGACGACGACGUUGAUAGGCCGGGUGUGUAAGCGCAGCGAUGCGUUGAGCUAACCGGUACUAAUGAACCGUGAGGCUUAACC
rnacentral:rRNA from 1 species